AAUUGUUUUAAUUUUAUGUGCAGGGAUUCUUACUUGAAUAUUUGUACGGUUUUAUGUAACAAACCCGUAGAAAAAGUAAAGAUGUCGAUUUACACGGAAGAAGAAUUCCAAAGCAAACAGUACAGAUGGAGAAAGGACAAUGGAAAUAUACUGGUCACGAUUGUAUCUCAGCCGUUUCGUCUCGGCCAUGCAGAUAAGGAGACGAAAAUCACAGAAACCGACCCCCAAGAUGGAAGUAAUAAGGAUAUAGAUGCUCUUCACUUGAAAAAAUUCUUUGAAGAAGAAAAAGAAAAGUUUCCGGUAGCAGUAGAUUGCAAAUUUAGGCAAAACAUUGACUUUGAUGCCUAUAUCAAAGAUUAUAUUGAGAUAAUGGAGGACAAGGACAAGAAAUUUGAUAAGUAUGAAAAGUAUGACUGUUUUGUCUUUGUUUUCUUGACGUAUAUCGAUGACGAAAAGCUGCAUUUCCAUGAUAAAUGCAUACCUCUAGAGGAGAUACUGAACAAAGUGAAAGCACAGGAGGUAACAAGAGGAAAACCAAAGAUCUUCCUCGUCCAAUCCGAUGAUAACACCUUGCUUGGAGUAAAAACCUUACCCAAAGGUCCUGUCGAGGUUAUAGAGAGAAAAAUACCACAGGAUGCUGACAGAUUCAUAAUCCAAUCAACAGUACCACAGGGGAUCGCAAACAGGAAUACUUCAUCCGGCACCAAGAAUCCGUCGUUCCUUAUUCAAGCCUUUACGCAGGCAUUAUCGGAAAACUGGGAGCGGGAAGAACACAAAAGAGAGGACUUCCUUUCCUUGUCAACCGAGAUAAAUGGGAAAGUGGAUGAUAUGAUAAGAAGUUCAGGAGAUAACAGGGCCGGUGAUAUGCAGGUUCCUCUUGUCACUUCAACGCUGACAAAACAAUUGCUAUUUUAGGUGGUAUUGUGUUGGACAGUUCCUUUAAAAGACUAAUAUAUGCUGAAACAGUAUUAUCAUUCUUUAAAAUAGCGUUUUAUUUGUAAACCUCGUAAUAUGGCAGAAAAGUGAAGCAAUAAAUUUAAACGGUUGUCACAGAAAAUGGAUAUUUCUGUAGUACGUGAAGGCUCCGGAUAAUUUUUAGACCUAUGAGUAUUUACUCAUCAUAAUUUUUGUGAAUGGGUAAAAUAGUAAAAUCUGAAAUUUACUAAUGGUAAUGGACCUUUUUUCUCCCUUGACUUGCUUUGCUUAAAACACUCGCUACUUAAUUAAAAAGAAUAAACACAUGGUGAAAUAAC
rnacentral:misc_RNA from 1 species